UACGAAGGGUGCAAGCGUUACUCGGAAUUACUGGGCGGAAAGCGUGCGUAGGUGGUUUGUUAAGUCUGUUGUGAAGGCCCCGGGCUCAACCUGGGAAUGGCAAUGGAUACUGGCAAGCUAGAGUGCGGUAGAGGGUAGUGGAAUUCCCGGUGUAGCGGUGAAAUGCGUAGAGAUCGGGAGGAACACCAGUGGCGAAGGCGGCUACCUGGACCAGCACUGACACUGAGGCACGAAAGCGUGGGGAGCAAACAGG
rnacentral:rRNA from 1 species